UUCCAGGUGUUUCCUUACUCAGAGAAAAAUCCCAUAAUCGGACUCUCUUUUUUAACUUAAAAUUAAUUCCAUAUGGCUUUUACCUUUUGCAUUAAUAGUAUUUCUUUCACUUUUAAGGGUCCCCCAGGUCCCCCUGGAACUGCAGGAUUUCCAGGCUCUCCAGGUUUUAAGGGUGAAGCUGGUCCUCCUGGUCCUGCUGGUGCUAGUGGAAGUCCUGGAGAGAGAGGAGAACCUGGUCCUCAGGGUCAUGCUGGGCCACCUGGGCCUCAGGGCCCUCCUGGAAGAGCUGGAAGCCCUGGCAACAAGGGUGAAAUGGGACCUUCUGGUAUUCCUGGUGCUCCUGGUCUUCCAGGAGGCCGUGGCCUUCCAGGUCCUCCAGGUGCAAGUGGAAACCCUGGGGCAAAAGGCAGUCCAGUGAGUAUUCACACUGGUUAUACAAAUAUGAUGGAACUAAGCCUCAUACCAUUUUAAAAAACCCCAUUGAUCUUCUCCUGUUCACUUGAAAUGGUCUAAUAAAUUAUUUUAUAAUGAAAAUACGCAAUCAUUUUUAUAAAUAUAUAAAAUAUUUUGUUUCGUACAUAUAGGUAUUGCUAUAUAUAAAGAGUAUACACAAAUUUGGUAAUAAUACCUAAUUGCUUUCCUAAAUUAUCUACCAAUUCAAAUACAACAAAGAUACUGCUUUUGCAAAUUGGCUAC
rnacentral:lncRNA from 1 species